UACGUAGGGGGCAAGCGUUGUCCGGAUUUACUGGGCGUAAAGAGCGCGUAGGCGGUCUGUUAAGUGUAGAGUGAAAUCUCCAGGGCUCAACCGGAAACUGCUCUGCAUACUGGCAGACUUGAGGGAUGCAGAGGUGAAUGGAAUUCCGGGUGUAGCGGUGGAAUGCGUAGAGAUCCGGAAGAACACCGGAGGCGAAGGCGGGCUUCUGGGCUUGGAUCUG
rnacentral:rRNA from 1 species